GUCCACGCCGUAAACGAUGGGUGCUAGACGUUGGCGAGCUUGCUCGUCAGUGUCGCAGCUAACGCGUUAAGCACCCCGCCUGGGGAGUACGGCCGCAAGGUUGAAACUCAAAGGAAUUGACGGGGGCCCGCACAAGCGGUGGAGCAUGUGGUUCAAUUCGACGCAACGCGAAGAACCUUACCAGCCCUUGACUUGUGGCUCGCCGGUCCCGGAGACGGGACCUUCGGUUCGGCCGGAGCCAACACAGGUGCUGCAUGGCUGUCGU
rnacentral:rRNA from 1 species